rnacentral:rRNA from 1 species
GCGGUGAAAUGCGUAGAUAUCAGGAGGAACACCAGCGGCGAAGGCGGCGCUCUGGGCCGGUACUGACGCUGAGGAGCGAAAGCGUGGGUAGCAAACAGGAUUAGAUACCCUGGUAGUCCACGCCGUAAACGUUGGGCACUAGGUGUGGGUCUCAACCAACGGGAUCCGUGCCGUAGCUAACGCAUUAAGUGCCCCGCCUGGGGAGUACGGCCGCAAGGCUAAAACUCAAAGGAAUUGACGG